UAUAUAUUGGCAGAUAAAUGCAUUAGAAUUAGAAUCUAAUGAAACUUUUAUUACUUUCAUAAUUAA
rnacentral:tRNA from 1 species